rnacentral:rRNA from 1 species
GCUCAACACUAGCAAGUUCGAACGUAGUAUCCAGCUUGCUGGGGGGAUAGUGGCGAACGGGUGAGUAACACGUGAGUAACCUGCCCUUAACUCUGGGAUAAGCCUGGGAAACUGGGUCUAAUACCGGAUAUGACCUUCCAUCGCAUGGUGGUUGGUGGAAAGCUUUUUGUGGUUUUGGAUGGACUCGCGGCCUAUCAGCUUGUUGGUGAGGUAAUGGCUUACCAAGGCGACGACGGGUAGCCGGCCUGAGAGGGUGACCGGCCACACUGGGACUGAGACACGGCCCAGACUCCUACGGGAGGCAGCAGUGGGGAAUAUUGCACAAUGGGCGCAAGCCUGAUGCAGCGACGCCGCGUGAGGGAUGACGGCCUUCGGGUUGUAAACCUCUUUCAGUAGGGAAGAAGCGAAAGUGACGGUACCUGCAGAAGAAGCGCCGGCUAACUACGUGCCAGCAGCCGCGGUAAUACGUAGGGCGCAAGCGUUAUCCGGAAUUAUUGGGCGUAAAGAGCUCGUAGGCGGUUUGUCGCGUCUGCCGUGAAAGUCCGGGGCUCAACUCCGGAUCUGCGGUGGGUACGGGCAGACUAGAGUGAUGUAGGGGAGACUGGAAUUCCUGGUGUAGCGGUGAAAUGCGCAGAUAUCAGGAGGAACACCGAUGGCGAAGGCAGGUCUCUGGGCAUUAACUGACGCUGAGGAGCGAAAGCAUGGGGGAGCGAACAGGGAUUAGAUACCCUGGUAGUCCCAUGCCCGUAAAACGUUGGGCACUAGGUGUGGGGGGGACAU